rnacentral:rRNA from 1 species
UGAAUGGCAUCACGAGGGUUAUACUGUCUCCUUUUUCCAAUCAGUGAAACUAAUCUCCCCGUGAAGAAGCGGGGAUAAGACCAUAAGACGAGAAGACCCUAUGGAGCUUUAAAUUUCUCUUCAAACGCCGGCUAAUUUAGUAAGUCAUAGACCCCUUCCCCCUUAACCCUAGCGCCAUGAAGACGACUUUUAGGUUGGGGUGACCGCGGAGUACAAAAAAACCUCCACAUUGAACUAGGCUCCCAAGCCCUGAGCAAAGGGCCACAACCCCAUGCACUAAAAAACUAACAUCCAUUGACCCAAUACCUUUUGAUCAACGAACCAAGUUACCCUAGGGAUAACAGCGCAAUCCACUUCAAGAGUCCAUAUCGACAAGUGG